rnacentral:misc_RNA from 1 species
GAUGAAGAACGUAGCGAAAUGCGAUAAGUAAUGUGAAUUGCAGAAUUCAGUGAAUCAUCGAAUCUUUGAACGCACCUUGCACCCUUUGGCUAUUCCGAAGGGUAUGCCUGUUUGAGUAUCAUGAACACCUCAACUCUCAUGGUUUGCCAUGAUGAGCUUGGACUUUGGGGGUCUUGCUGGCCUGUGGUCAGCUCCUCUCAAAUGGAUUAGCUUGCCAGUGUUUGGUGGCAUCACAGGUGUGAUAACUAUCUUCGCUUGUGGUUUUCCACCAGGUAACCUUCAGCAAUGGGGGUUCGCUGGGGCUCAUAAAUGUCUCUCCUCAGCGAGGACAGCUCUUUGAACGUUUGAUCUCAAAUCAGGUAGGACUACCCGCUGAACUUAAGCAUAUCAAUAAGCGGAGGA